rnacentral:rRNA from 1 species
CAAGGUGCUGCAUGGUUGUCGUCAGCUCGUGCCGUGAGGUGUCGGGUUAAGUCCCAUAACGAGCGCAACCCUUAUCGUUAGUUGCCAGCUGGUAAAGCAGGGGACUCUAGCGAAACUGCCACCGUAAGGUGAGAGGAAGGUGGGGAUGACGUCAAAUCAGCACGGCCCUUAUGUCCAGGGCUACACACGUGUUACAAUGGCCGGCACAGAGGACAGCUACCUGGUGACAGGAUGCUAAUCUCGAAAACCGGUCUCAGUUCGGAUCGAAGUCUGCAACUCGACUUCGUGAAGCUGGAUUCGCUAGUAAUCGCGCAUCAGCCAUGGCGCGGUGAAUACGUUCCCGGGCCUU